AGUGAGCGCUGGCGGUAGGCCUAACACAUGCAAGUCGAACGGCAGCACAGUAAGAGCUUGCUCUUACGGGUGGCGAGUGGCGGACGGGUGAGGAAUACAUCGGAAUCUACUUUUUCGUGGGGGAUAACGUAGGGAAACUUACGCUAAUACCGCAUACGACCUACGGGUGAAAGCAGGGGAUCUUCGGACCUUGCGCGAUUGAAUGAGCCGAUGUCGGAUUAGCUAGUUGGCGGGGUAAAGGCCCACCAAGGCGACGAUCCGUAGCUGGUCUGAGAGGAUGAUCAGCCACACUGGAACUGAGACACGGUCCAGACUCCUACGGGAGGCAGCAGUGGGGAAUAUUGGACAAUGGGCGCAAGCCUGAUCCAGCCAUACCGCGUGAGUGAAGAAGGCCUUCGGGUUGUAAAGCCCUUUUGUUGGGAAAGAAAAGCAGCAGGUUAAUACCCCGCUGUUCUGACGGUACCCAAAGAAUAAGCACCGGCUAACUUCGUG
rnacentral:rRNA from 1 species